rnacentral:tRNA from 1 species
GUCGGGGUGGCGGAACAGGCAGACGCGCACGUUUGAGGGGCGUGUGGUUUAUACCGUGUGGGUUCGAUUCCCAUCCCCGACACCA